GCCCAUGUGACGCAAUUGGUAGACGUACUAUCCUCAGAAGGUAGGUGUUGGCGGUUCGAGUCCGCCUAUGGGCA
rnacentral:tRNA from 1 species